CACGUAGGGUGCGAGCGUUGUCCGGAAUUAUUGGGCGUAAAGAGCUCGUAGGCGGUGUGUCGCGUCGGCCGUGAAAACCUGGGGCUUAACUCUGGGCGUGCGGUCGAUACGGGCAUCACUAGAGUUCGGCAGGGGAGACUGGAAUUCCUGGUGUAGCGGUGAAAUGCGCAGAUAUCAGGAGGAACACCGGUGGCGAAGGCGGGUCUCUGGGCCGAUACUGACGCUGAGGAGCGAAAGCAUGGGUAGCGAACAGG
rnacentral:rRNA from 1 species